GCGAACCGCACGAACCGGGAACAACAGUCUAAUCAUCAUCGUUGAUCGUUAAACAACGUGAAACGCGUAUAGAAAAUCUGAAAAAUCAGAUGAGAGAUAUCGUCUAUUAAACGUACAAAUCGAUGUCAAAAAUCAUCUGCGAGAAAAUUCGUAUUUCAUGCAUUCAUUUGAGCUAAAAAUAAAAAUAGAAAGCAGUAUACUAAAUACAGAAUAUUUAAUAUACGAUCCAUCCACCGAGAUCAGUCAACCAAAUCUGAAUUGAAAUAAGCGAAAAUCUGAAGUACAGUAAAAAUUCCACAAACAUAAAAAAAAAAUAAUCCUGUAAACUGUGACUUGUGUACUGUAAUUUCGUCUCGCAUACAGAGAGAUAAUAUACAAUAAUACUAAUAAAAAGUUUAAACUGUAGAAGCAGCUGUUAAAUAUUAAAAAAAAAAAAUAUCCAAAAAUACAAAAGAAACAGUGUUCGAAGUGAACAAAAGUUAAUAGUGUUAAUUAAAUUUGCAAUUGCGAUCGCAUCAACAAAACCAGAGUACAGUUUUAGUUGAAGCAAACGAGAGUUAAAAGAAACAACAAACAAAUCAUCAAAGUAGUUAUAGCUGGAACGUAACGCGGAAACUUUACUGAAAAUUUUUGCAUUUUCCAAUGUAGCCGUUUGGGGAAUUUUAACACGAACGUGGCCGUUUUGGAUGUUUCGUGUUAAUUACUUACUUAGAAAAAUUUCAUCGAUAGCGAGUGAACAUUUUCGCACUACCAUCUACAUACUACCUACAGCACAUUAAAAUAUUUCCGUAUACAACAUUUUUGGCUCACUUUGCCUACAAGCGCACACGCUAGUCAC